UGUGAUCUUUGGCUCUACAUCCAAUUUGAACACUAUCCCUUUAUUGAAUGAAUAUGAAGUAUAGAAUACAACACAGUUGGGAAUUAGAUCUUCAACUAAAGAGUCUUCAAUAGAGAGUAAUCUCUAAAAACUCAGCCCCUCCCUUGAGCCUAACAUAUACAUUCGUACGUUAGUGUUAGCCCAAUUACAAAACCCAUUGUUCUCCCACUCUCUCUCUUUCUCUGCACUUCUUGAUUCAGACCAGUGUUUUCUUCUUCCUAGACUUUUUCUCUUCGUGUGUCUUCAUUCAGUCGAGCCCUCUUCCCUUUAUAGCCAGCUCACCUCUACAUCUAUUCUACCAACUGAAAACUUAGAAUCUGUUAAGUUAGUUGGGAUUUGGAGGAAUAAAAAUACCACAGUAGAGAUGAGGUGGAUUCAUUUCCAGAGGAUGGCCUGCUUCCAAUUACACUCAUUUCUUAAUUAAUUUAUGAUUUUGAGAACUUAAAAGUCCUCAACGGUAAGAACUUUCAACGACUCACCUCCCUCCGGAGUUUGAGCAUUGAAUCAUGCAACAAGCUCCAAUGCUUUCCGGAAGAUGGGUUACCUGCUUCUCUGAGCAUCUAUAAUUGUCGUUUGCUAAAAGGACGGACGGUGCCAAAGAGCGACUGGGGAAGAUUGGCACAAAAUUUCUGACAUAUCUUCUAUAAAGAUUAAUGGCAAAAAGAUAUAAUCUACUCUGCUGAAGUAAAAUAUUCAUGGAACAUAGGCAACAUUGAAUCAGGUCGAGCUGCUCUUGAAUAUAACCAGUCUACACAGCAGGUCAGAUUUCCUUAACAAAUGAAAUAACACCACAUAUAGUCCUGUCACUCCUGUUAGUAGAAUGAUGUUGCUCACUCCUAUCACUAGAACUAGAGAGAAGCAGGAUCUGGUUUGAAAAAUAAAACCAAGCAACCUGGACGCUUAAAUUUCAUUGGCUGAACCCAACAUACCAGUUUUCAACCUACAUAACAACAGGAGCAGAGCAUUGAACGUAUAAUUUGAAUUGAAAAAAAGGCAUACUUCAUAUGCAGACUCUGGAUCUGAGCUUUGCAAUUGUGUUUGCUAUCCGUAUUUGCUCGAAGGUUGGGCUGGUAAUCCCACCUUAUAUGCUAGGGGAUGCCUUUGCAAAUGGGUGACAAGUGCAGUGUAAAACGUUCUUUAUGGGUCGUCACCGUCAGAUAGAUUCUGAUGUGAAGAUUGUUAAUUACAAUAUUGAAUCAUACGGUUGUUAAAAUCCAAGGUAGAUAUUACUGGGGAUUCAUUUGAGUUGCCAUUAUGGUUACUGCUGGCGUAAGAGUUUAAAGGAGAGGCUUUUACCAACAAAGAAAACUUACACUGGUGAUGAAAAUGGCAAGCUCAAUAUUGACUUAUGCUUGAGUCUGAUUUAUUAUUAUGGUUGGAGAAGAUUUGAUGAUCAAGGUCUCUGAAAGCUAGUCUUGAUGAGUACACACACCUAUGAGUUCUCUUCCAUAAAAUUUGCUUCAUGUUCUAGCAGAGGUUUGAGUCAGUUUAAAGGCAUUCUUUCUUUUCCAAAAUAAUGGCGUUGAUGAUUCAGCAGAGCUAAGUUUCAUGUAAUUUUAAAAUGAGUACAAAUUGUGGCUAAUUAAUAGUUUUGAUUAGGUUCUAAUUUAAAGGUUAAAAGGAAAAUCAUACAGUACAGUACAUACUUUUCGUUAUUGCUAUUGCUGUCCACAUUCACACAGAGCCAUUGAAAGCAAGUUUUCUCUUACAAAUUCUUGGAAGAAUCUGAGAUUUCAAUCUUUCAAUGUUACAACUUCAUCCAAAAUCUACUUCACAUAUAUAAAUAAAUAAAAUCAAAUGCUGGGCAAAUUGUUUUAUAAUAUU